GGUCAUGAGACCCUUCUGGUGACCAACUUCUGACUCCAUCAUGAGAUGGUCACCAGAAGUCCUAAUUUACUCAUCAUAAGUCCAUCGUGUUUGGGCUCAAUCGAUUUGCCUCGACGAGCACCAUCUAUCUAGAUGAGGUCCAGGGUCAUGAGACCCUUCUGGUGACCAACUCCUGACUCCAUCAUGAGAUGGUCACCAGAUGUUCUAAUCUACUCAUAAUAACUCCAUCGUGUUUGGGCUCAAUAGAUUUGCCCCGACGAGCACCAUCGAUCUAGAUGAAGUCCAGGUUCUCAUGAUGGAGUCAGGAGUUGGUCACCAGAACUCCUAAUCUACUCAUUAUCACUCCAUCGUGUUUGGGCUCAAUCGAUUUGCCUCGACGAGCACCAUCUAUCUAGAUGAGGUCCAGGGUCAUGAGACCCUUCUGGUGACCAGCUCCUGACUCCAUCAUGAGAUGGUCACCAGAUGUUCUAAUCUACUCAUCAUAACUCCAUCGUGUUUGGGCUCAAUAGAUUUGCCCCGACGAGCACCAUUGAUCUAGAUGAAGUCCAGGUUCUCAUGAUGGAGUCAGGAGUUGGUCACCAGAAAUCCUAAUCUACUCAUUAUCACUCUAUCGUGAUUGGGCUCAUUAGAUUUGCCCUGACGAGCACCAUCUAUCUAGAUGAGGUCCAGAGUCAUGAGACUCUUCUGGUGACCAACUCCUGACUCCAUUACGAGAUGGGGUCAGGAGUUGGUCCCCAGAAGUCCUAAUCUAUUCAUCAUAACUCCAUCGUGUUUGGGAUCAAUAGAUUUGCCCCGACAAGCACCAUCGAUCUAGAAUCUAGAUGAAGUCCAGGUUUUCAUGAUGGAGUCAGGAGUUGGUCACCAGAACUCCUAAUCUACUCAUCAUAACUCCAUCGUGUUUGGGCUCAAUAGAUUUUCCUUGACGAGCACUAUCGAUCUAGAUGCGGUUGAUAGAUUAUUAAUAUUAUUUUAUUUUACAUACAUACUUACAAAUAAAGCUUCAUUUGCUUCCCACAAGGAUCAAGUAAACCUUAUAAAUCAACUUCGUUCUAAAUAAAAACCGGCCAAGUGCGAGUCGGACUCGCACACGAAGGGUUCCGUACCAUUAUCUAUAAAAACGGUCACCCAUCCAAGUACUGACCCCGCCCGAGCCCGACGUUGCUUAACUUCUAUCAAAAAUCACGUUUACAACAGUAUGGGAGCCCCACUUAAAUCUUUAUUUUAUUCUGUUUUAGUAUUUGUUGUUAUAGCGGCAACAGAAAUACAUCAUCUGUGAAAAUUUCAACUGUCUAGCUAUCUCGAUUCGUGAGAUACAGCCUGGUGAUUGACGGACGGACGGACGGACGGACAGCGGAGUCUUAGUAAUAGGGUCCCGUUUUACCCUUUGGGUACGGAACCCUAAAAACGGAGAUACUUCUGUUUUAGACAUAAAAUCGAACUUCAGAGAGUUCAGUAGUUGUUACUUGCAGGUACUCUCGAAUUUAUUGUCAUUAUACAGGGUGGCCAUAAAAUAAGUGCUUUUCCGCUGCUGGCAAGAAAAUGGUUGCUGGAAAAAAAAUUACCCUCCCAUAGAAAAUGGACUAGACAAAAUGUAUGAAACAGCCAAAUUUUUUUUUCGCGAUUUCGGGGUUGGUCCCAUCGCGGUUCGCGGUUGCUUAGUUCAGUAUAAUCCCUAAACCUCCCUGGCAACGGGAAUGCACUUAUUUUUGGCCACCCUGUAUAUAUUAUUAUUUAAUAUAACCUUAUCUUUAAAACAUUUAAUUAUUCAACUUCCUUGGUGAACUGACUUGAAUAAGUUACUUGACUUCGUGGAUGAACUUGUCACAAUAAUUCCAUGACAUACAGAGGUAAACAAUCAUUAUUUUUUACUCGUCGUUGGUUAUAUAUUAUCUCAUCACAUAUACUCUAUUGACUACUACCAUGCUUAUAAAAUAAAAUACAGAGUGCCAAUAUAACGUUAAAAUAAAUUUACUUGCAAAUUAAAUUGAAAAGUAUCAAAAUUAUUCUUGUCUGCGUUGAAACGCGCUUAGCUUUGCCGGCGCUCGCGUACCGAGCGCUAACGCCAUCUAUCGAGUGUUAUUUCGCAAAAUCGGUGAACGCUCUAAGGAAUAAGGGCUCUUAAUAGAG